GACGAACGCUGGCGGCGUGCUUAACACAUGCAAGUCGAACGGAAAGGCCCUGCUUUUGUGGGGUGCUCGAGUGGCGAACGGGUGAGUAACACGUGAGUAACCUGCCCUUGACUUUGGGAUAACUUCAGGAAACUGUGGCUAAUACCGGAUAGGAGCUCCUGCUGCAUGGUGGGGGUUGGAAAGUUUCGGCGGUUGGGGAUGGACUCGCGGCUUAUCAGGUUGUUGGUGGGGUAGUGGAUUACCAAGGCCUUGACGGGUAGCCGGCCUGAGAGGGUGACCGGCAACAUUGGGACUGAGAUACGGCCCAGACUACUACGGGAGGCAGCAGUGGGGAAUAUUGCACAAUGGGCGGAAGCAUGAUGCAGCAACGCCGCGUGCGGGAUGACGGCCUUCGGGUUGUAAACCGCUUUCGCCUGUGACGAAGCGUGAGUGACGGUAAUGGGUAAAGAAGCACCGGCUAACUACGUG
rnacentral:rRNA from 1 species